AGUGGUUCUCAGGUGACACACCCCAGAAUCAGGCUCCCUCCUCUCUGGUUCUGGGUGCAUCACCCAAGAACUGCA
rfam:Myotis brandtii contig229552, whole genome shotgun sequence.